AUUGAACGCUGGCGGCAUGCCUUACACAUGCAAGUCGAACGGUAACAGGCCGCAAGGUGCUGACGAGUGGCGAACGGGUGAGUAAUGCAUCGGAACGUGCCCAGUCGUGGGGGAUAACUGCUCGAAAGAGCAGCUAAUACCGCAUACGACCUGAGGGUGAAAGCGGGGGACCGUAAGGCCUCGCGCGAUUGGAGCGGCCGAUGUCAGAUUAGCUAGUUGGUGGGGUAAAGGCCUACCAAGGCAACGAUCUGUAGUUGGUCUGAGAGGACGACCAGCCACACUGGGACUGAGACACGGCCCAGACUCCUACGGGAGGCAGCAGUGGGGAAUUUUGGACAAUGGGCGCAAGCCUGAUCCAGCAAUGCCGCGUGCAGGAAGAAGGCCUUCGGGUUGUAAACUGCUUUUGUACGGAACGAAACGGUCUGGGUUAAUACCCCGGGCUAAUGACGGUACCGUAAGAAUAAGCACCGGCUAACUACGUGCCAGCCGCCGCCGUAAGAC
rnacentral:rRNA from 1 species